UCCUACGGGGCGCAGCAGUGAGGAAUAUUGGUCAAUGGCCGCAGGGCUGAACCAGCCAAGUCGCGUGAGGGAUGACGGUCCUAUGGAUUGUAAACCUCUUUUGCCGGGGAGCAAGCCUGAGCACGUGUGCCCAGGCGGAGAGUACCCGGAGAAAAAGCAUCGGCUAACUCCGUGCCAGCAGCCGCGGUAAUACGGAGGAUGCGAGCGUUAUCCGGAUUUAUUGGGUUUAAAGGGUGUGCAGGCGGGCUGUUAAGCCGGCGGUAAAAAUUCAGGGCUCAACCCUUUCGAGCCGGCGGA
rnacentral:rRNA from 1 species